GACGAACGCUGGCGGCGUGCUUAACACAUGCAAGUCGAACGAAGAGCGAUGGAAGCUUGCUUCUAUCAAUCUUAGUGGCGAACGGGUGAGUAACGCGUAAUCAACCUGCCCUUCAGAGGGGGACAACAGUUGGAAACGACUUCUAAUACCGCAUACGAUCUAACCUCGGCAUCGAGGAUAGAUGAAAGGUGGCCUCUACAUGUAAGCUAUCACUGAAGGAGGGGAUUGCGUCUGAUUAGCUAGUUGGAGGGGUAACGGCCCACCAAGGCGAAGCUCAGUAGCCGGUCUGAGAGGAUGGACGGCCACAUUGGGACUGGAACAAGGCCCAGACCCCUUCGGGGGGCAGCAGGGGGGGAUCUUCCGACAAGGACGAAAGUCUGACGGAGCAACGCCGCGUGAGUGAUGACAGCCGUCGGGUUGUAAAGCUCUGUUAAUCGGGACGAAAGGCCUUCUUGCGAAUAGGUAGAAGGAUUGACGGUACCGGAAGAGAAAGCCACGGCUAACUACGUG
rnacentral:rRNA from 1 species